rfam:Salmo salar isolate Sally breed double haploid chromosome ssa02, whole genome shotgun sequence.
UGCGUUCACUACUGCAAGUCGCUCUGGAUAAGAGCGUCUGCUAAAUGACUAAAA